UCGGCUACGAGACGACGCUGGCGGCGUGCCUAAUACAUGCAAGUCGAGCGGAUUGAUGGGAGCUUGCUCCCUGAUAUCAGCGGCGGACGGGUGAGUAACACGUGGGCAACCUGCCUAUAAGACUGGGAUAACUUCGGGAAACCGGAGCUAAUACCGGAUAAUCCCUUUCCUCUCAUGAGGAAAGGCUGAAAGAUGGUUUACGCUAUCACUUAUAGAUGGGCCCGCGGCGCAUUAGCUAGUUGGUGAGGUAACGGCUCACCAAGGCAACGAUGCGUAGCCGACCUGAGAGGGUGAUCGGCCACACUGGGACUGAGACACGGCCCAGACUCCUACGGGAGGCAGCAGUAGGGAAUCUUCCGCAAUGGACGAAAGUCUGACGGAGCAACGCCGCGUGAGUGAUGAAGGCUUUCGGAUCGUAAAACUCUGUUGUUAGGGAAGAACAAGUACGAGAGUAACUGCUCGUACCUUGACGGUACCUAACCAGAAAGCCACGGCUAACUACGCG
rnacentral:rRNA from 1 species